rnacentral:rRNA from 1 species
AUUGAACGCUGGCGGCAGGCCUAACACAUGCAAGUCGAACGAGUGGCGGACGGGUGAGUAAUGUCUGGGAAACUGCCCGAUGGAGGGGGAUAACUACUGGAAACGGUAGCUAAUACCGCAUACCAUCGGAUGUGCCCAGAUGGGAUUAGCUAGUAGGUGGGGUAACGGCUCACCUAGGCGACGAUCCCUAGACGGUCUGAGAGGAUGACCGGCCACACUGGAACUGAGACACGGUCCAGACUCCUACGGGAGGCAGCAGUGGGGAAUAUUCCACAAGGGGCGAAAGCCUGAUGCAGCAACGCCGCGUGUGUGAAGAAGGCCUUCGGGUUGUAAAGUUCUUUCAGCGAGGAGGCGUUACUCGCAGAAGAAGCCCCGGCUAACUCCGUGCCAGCAGCCGCGGUAAUAC